rnacentral:rRNA from 1 species
CCUACGGGCGGCAGCAGUGGGGAAUAUUGCACAAUGGGGGAAACCCUGAUGCAGCGACGCCGCGUGAGUGAAGAAGUAUUUCGGUAUGUAAAGCUCUAUCAGCAGGGAAGAAAAUGACGGUACCUGUUUAAGAAUCCGCGGAUAACUACGUGCCAGCAGCCGCGGUAAUACGUAGGGGGCAAGCGUUAUCCGGAUUUACUGGGUGUAAAGGGAGCGUAGACGGCAGGACAAGUCUGGAGUGAAAGGCUGGGGCUUAACCCCGGAACUGCUUUGGAAACUGUGCAGCUAGAGUGCAGGAGAGGUAAGCGGAAUUCCUGGUGUAGCGGUGAAAUGCGUAGAUAUUAGGAGGAACACCAGUGGCGAAGGCGGCUUACUGGACUGUAACUGACGUUGAGGCUCGAAAGCGUGGGGAGCAAACAGGAUUAGAUACCCUGGUAGUC